AAACACACACACACACACACACCAUCUCCUUGGAUGAGUUACUUCUCCCUUUUCAUCAGCUGGAGCAGACACACGCCUCCUAUGACUAAUCAAACUUUGGAGUGAGGAAACUGAAAAACUCUGUGAUGCUGUGUGAUAAUUAGUUAGCAAGGUGGAAGUUCCUCCACCAGAGUUCAUGUAAUAUUUUUAGCAUUAUCAUAAAGUAAUGCAUGUAUCUAAAUGACUGAAGUGGAUCUGGAGUGCAGGCAGGACAAACCUUCAGUUCAAGCCUGCAGGCUUCUUGUCCUUUGUGGGAGAAAGAGGUCAGCCAACAGGAGAUGGCCUCAGGCAGCCCCGUGGAUCAGGAGCAGGUCAUGUGGCUGGUGGAGAGGAGGAUGUUUGGCUCGGGUCACUAUCUGUUUGACGACACCUGAAGUUGCUCAACUUCCUCCUGGAUCAGUAUUCAUUAUGUUUACAAUUUAUCUAUAAUAUUGUCACCCUGAUUGUCCAUACUGUAAUUUUACUAUGUUGUUCUAUUUAUCUAUAUGUCUGUCCGUCCUGGGAGAGGGAUCCCUCCUCUGUUGCUCUUCCUGAGGUUUC